GUCGCCUGGAUCGCAGCGCCAUCUCGUGGCUGCUGGCAGGUCUGCCUUGGGCCCUCUUGGCACAAGGCAAGGAAACAGGAGCUCUUCCCAUCAGUGACAGCCCAGGAGAAUGCUCCAGUGUCACCAGUGACUCCUGCUCCCACAUCUGCCUACAGGAAGCCCUCUUGGAACAAAAGCAUCUCACUUCUGGGAGGCAUCAAGUAUGUGCAUCACCAGCAGGACAGACUUGCAGCGCCUAUUCUGAGUGAAAAAGAGAAUCUUUUGGUGCUACCCUCAACCAACCUCAUCCUUUCUCCACUUGGAUUCUUCUCAACAUUGACCCUCUUGAAAAGAUCAUAAAAACUCACUUUAAGGUGUAUAUGAGGAGUUUUGUCUCCCAGGAAGGUUUGCAUUGUAUCUGUAAUGGUGGAGUCUCAGGCAUUGACUUCCCAGGUGAAGGAAGGGUGAUUUUGGGAUGGGGGGGCCUUCCUGAAUUUUUAAUUUUUUUUUAGUAGAGAUGAGGUCUCAAUGAAGCAGUGUUGUUGCCUGGGGUAAAUACCCGGGUUCAUCAUCUCGAGCCAAGAAGAUUAAGGACAUGAACACACAUGAAGGUCAAGGGAGAAGCAGUGAUGUUUUAGUAUCCAGAAAGUGGAAAUAACCCAAAUGCCCAUCAACAGCAGAAUGAAAUUGUACUAUAUUCACACCAUGGAAUAUUGUAUAGCAAAGAGAAUGAAUGAACUAUUAACAGAAAAGACAUGGACAAAUCUCAUAAACAUGAUGCUGAAAGAAACCACAGUCAAAAAGGAAGAUGCUUCCCAACCUUUUGCAGACCAUGGCAUACGCAGAAAAUGACAACAUCGGAAUGGCACACUGGCAUACCAGUUGGGGAUCCUUGCAGUCAAUGCUGACUGGACUCAUC
rnacentral:lncRNA from 10 species